rnacentral:lncRNA from 9 species
CAUCACCUUAUACUUACGUGUGCUUUCUUUGUUUGCAUUUGCCAAGGCAAGGACUGCACCUUAUUCAUCUUGGAAGUCUUCCACAGCAUCUAAUACAGUGAUUGGUGUAAGUUACAAUAAAUAUCAGCCGAAUGAAUGACUCUGUGAUUGAACACAGGCAUGGGUGUGAAAUAAAGUUUUCUUGCAAAGUUUUUAUUAAGGGACAUGAACCAGAGUCUCCAUUCCAUUUCAUUUGGGCUUUGGCACUUCUUAUUGAAGAAAUCCAGGAACAAUGGACAGAGCCUGAUCAAGAAAGUCCAGCAUUCAUCUACUCCUUGAAAAGACAUUUACCAUGAUAAAACACAUAAAGGAAUUCUUCAUCAUUUCCAGAUCACCAUAUUCAAGAGCAGUGAGGGCCGGCCACACACAGCUGCUUCAGGAAAUGCAGAUGGCCCGUGUUAUCAUCAGCUACGUGUUUAGAAAAGAGCCACACUUCAACCUGAAUUCAGUUUUAAUCUGUUUCCUUCUUGAGAGUAUAAUCUGCGAAAAAAUUGCCAACCUACUCACAACCGAAUUUCAGAUCUUCAACAUGGUAGAGGGCGAGAAAUGGAAUUCUUGGAAUUCUGCUGUCACCCUUAUUCUGUGAGAGCGAAUAUACACCCACCUCGCCAGUCGUGUCACUGACCUUUCUCCCCCUCUUUGCGGCUCAUGGUUUUCUGUUUCUGCAGACAUGGUUUGGCUUGUGGCCACAUCCACAUACGAACUCCACCACCUAAUGCCUCCGUGGGGUCCUGCCUCCCAGACACUGUGGUUCUAAGAUUGUAUCUUCCCAGAGGUGCGGACUCAAACUACCUUCUACGCAGAAGUACUAAAAGCACAUGCAGGAGUGGAGGCAGGG